ACCGUUUCACAAAGCCUUCGUAAGUCUACGUGUCAUCGUAAGUCCAUCGUAAAUAAAUCGUAGGAUUUACAGCCGUUUCACAAAGCCGUCGCAAGUUAAGAUGAUCGUAAAUAAAGCGUAAAUCCUGGCGUAACUUACUACAGCUAUACCCAGUCGUAACUCCAUCGUAGUUUUUCUACGAAAAUAAAUUAAUCCAUCUAACAUGGCUGCAGCGUUCUUUAUUCUUUGUCAAGAUGCCUCAAAUGUUAGAAGACGAAGAAGA
rnacentral:lncRNA from 1 species